rnacentral:rRNA from 1 species
GUGGGUCGAUGAAGAACGCAGCCAACUGCGAUAAGUAGUGUGAACUGCAGAAACCUUGAACACAGAACAUUCGAAUGCACAUUGCGCCAUUGGAGUAACAUCCAUUGGCACGCCUGGUUCAGGGU